rnacentral:rRNA from 1 species
AACGAACGCUGGCGGCAUGCCUAGCACAUGCAAGUCGAACGAGACCUUCGGGUCUAGUGGCGCACGGGUGCGUAACGCGUGGGAAUCUGCCCUUGGGUUCGGAAUAACAGUUGGAAACGACUGCUAAUACCGGAUGAUGACGUAAGUCCAAAGAUUUAUCGCCCAGGGAUGAGCCCGCGUAGGAUUAGCUAGUUGGUGGGGUAAAGGCCUACCAAGGCGACGAUCCUUAGCUGGUCUGAGAGGAUGAUCAGCCACACUGGGACUGAGACACGGCCCAGACUCCUACGGGAGGCAGCAGUGGGGAAUAUUGGACAAUGGGCGAAAGGCUGAUCCAGCAAUGCCGCGUGAGUGAUGAAGGCCUUAGGGUUGUAAAGCUCUUUUACCCGGGAUGAUAAUGACAGUACCGGGAGAAUAAGCCCCGGCUAACUCCGUG